CCUACGGGUGGCAGCAGUGAGGAAUAUUGGUCAAUGGGCGGAAGCCUGAACCAGCCAAGUCGCGUGAGGGAAUAAGGCCCUACGGGUCGUAAACCUCUUUUGCCGGGGAGCAAGGGCGGGGACGUGUCCCGGCCCGGAGAGGACCCGGAGAAAAAGCAUGGGCUAAUUCCGUGCCAGCAGCCGCGGUAAUACGGGGGAUGCGAGCGUUAUCCGGAUUUAUUGGGUUUAAAGGGUGCGUGGACGGGCUUUUCGGUCAGCGGUAAAAAUUCGGGGCUCAACCCAGUCCGGCCGUUGAAACUGGGGGCCUUGAGUGUGCGUGAAGAAGGCGGAAUGCGUGGUGUAGCGGUGAAAUGCAUAGAUAUCACGCAGAACCCCGAUUGCGAAGGCAGCCUUCC
rnacentral:rRNA from 1 species